rnacentral:rRNA from 1 species
GAUGGACGCUGGCGGCGUGCCUAAUACAUGCAAGUCGAGCGAACAGACGAGGAGCUUGCUCCUUUGACGUUAGCGGCGGACGGGUGAGUAACACGUGGAGAACCUACCUAUAAGACUGGGAUAACUUCGGGAAACCGGAGCUAAGACCCGAUAAUAUAUUGAACCGCAUGGUUCAAUAGUGAAAGACGGUUUUGCUGUCACUCAUAGAUGGAUCCGCGCCGCAUUAGCUAGUUGGUAAGGUAACGGCUUACCAAGGCAACGAUGCGUAGCCGACCUGAGAGGGUGAUCGGCCACAGUGGAACUGAGACGCGGUCCAGACUCCUACGGGAGGCAGCAGUAGGGACUCUUCCGCAAUGGGCGAAAGCUUGACGGAGCAACGCCGCGUGAGUGAUGAAGGUCUUCGGACCGUAAAACUCUGUUAUUAGGGAAGAACAAAUGUGUAAGUAACUAUGCACGUCUUGACGGUACCUAAUCAGAAAGCCACGGCUAACUACGUG